ensembl:ncRNA F46F3.17 ncRNA
AAUUAUUUCAACUGUAAUGCUAAUUUUGCUUCAAAAGUAAUUUACUAAAAAUCGUUUCUAUAUGAUCUCAAGCAGUUAUCACGAGAAGUACACAGCUUGUGCAACAAUGUGAACACCACCUAAAAACAUCUGAAAACAUGUUUUCUGAAAAUCUUCCUAAUUUUUGG